rnacentral:lncRNA from 1 species
GUUACGAGAAGUUACUUGCAGUUUAUUAAGAUGGACCAAUAAAAAUGCAUUAUGAGAACGUGGGUCCAACAAAAGUGCAAGUUAUAAUUUGACGGUUAAAAAAGUCUUCCUUAUUUUUAGCAAGUUAGUGGGGUAGUGGACAAUGUAACUGUCCAAUAUGAUGGCUAUAUAGGAAGAAUGAGGUACCACAAAAAUCUGUCUUCUUUUCACAUUUAACCCAUUCGAACAACACCACAUUUGCAGCCAUUGAUGACAUUGAUGCCUUCUACCACCUAUCCUAAGCAGCUGAUUAUGCGAAGUCAAGUACCAACGCAGCCAUACCCAAGAAGGAACAAUUCUACAGCCUAUUCAAAGAUAACAGGAAGCUGAGUAAGAAUGCAAUGACAACCAACAAGGAGCAAUACCCUAGCCAAUUCAAAAAUUAUCAGAAGCUAUGGAUGACUACUACCUAUUCAAAAUAGUUAACUAUGCAAUGAAGGGUACCAACAAAACAACAGGCAAGAAGAAGCAAUUUUAUGGCUCAUUCCAUAACACACAUAUUAUCAAUUUAAACAUGAUGUGAUUGUUUAAUCCGUUUUCUAAAUUUCUUAAUUACAGUUGGGUUAAAAUGCCAUGACAACCAACAAAGAGGAAUUUCGUAGCCCAAUCAAAGAUUCCCAGAAGGUAUUUUUUUUUUUUACUAUCAUGGUUUAAGUGUUUAAUAUGUUUUCUAAUUUUCCCUAAAUUUUUAUUAUUUAAUCUGACAAUGAAAACAUGGAGAUUAUUUCAUAUGGUCAAUUUUUCAGUCCCUGCAAAUCUGAUAUGCACAGGAAGGUAAGAGUUUUAUAACAACUGGCAAUUGCACAAUAAUAUCAUACAGGGGUGUGAAUUUUUGACACGACCUGAAAAUACGACACGAACCAAAUACGAAAUUCACGGGUUCGGGGCAGUUUCAGGUUGAGCCCGCUUAGCUAAACGGGUCAGGUUCGGGUCAACCUGGUCGGGUUGACCCGUUUAACCCAUUUAUAUUAAAAUUAUAUUUUUACAAUAUGUUUUAUAUCAUAAAUAUAAUUAGGUGUGUAACUUUAUGUCAUAAUUAUAACUUAAAAAGGGAAAUUGACAUAAGAUUUUAUGAUUUUAAUGUAAUCAUAUUAUAUAAAUUUGUGUGUUUUUUUGUAGUAGAUGUUAAUUUUAAUAUAUUAAUUUGCUGAAAAUUUUUUUGGGUUGAAUGGGUCGAGUUCGGGUCAGCCUGAGAAUAUUCAGGCCGGGUUCGGGUUCAUAUGUAUGACACAUUUUUUGCCUUCGGGUCGGGUCGUUCAAAUUUUUCGGGUUCGGGUCGGGUUGAACCCAUCAACCCGCGAACACAACCUGUUUAGCACCCCUAAUAUCAUAUGGUCUAAUUUUUAAGUCAUUGUCACACAUAUAUAUAUAUAUAUAUGUAAUUACAUUAUAAAAUGUAUUUUUCUAUUUUCAGUUGUAGAAGCUUGAAAAGCAAUAGAUAGAAAACAUGUCUUUUAAAUUGGAAAUAGGAUGAAGUCAUUGACAUAUAUGCAUUUCAACUGUAAAUCAACAACAAUAUGAAUCUAAUGUAUCAAAUCUGAGCAUAAAACCGAGCAUUGAAUUCUCUACAGCAAUAAAUUGUACUUUAGAAUCAUACUUAUGAGAAACCUUCAUAC